rnacentral:rRNA from 1 species
AUUGAACGCUGGCGGCAGGCCUAACACAUGCAAGUCGAACGGCAACAGAAAGCAGCUUGCUGCUUUGCUGACGAGUGGCGGACGGGUGAGUAAUGUCUGGGAAACUGCCUGAUGGAGGGGGAUAACUACUGGAAACGGUAGCUAAUACCGCAUAACGUCGCAAGAACAAAGAGGGGGACCUUCGGGCCUUUUGCCCUCGGAUGUGCCCAGAUGGGAUUAGCUAGUAGGUGGGGUAACGGCUCACCUAGGCGACGAUCCCUAGCUGGUCUGAGAGGAUGACCAGCCACACUGGAACUGAGACACGGUCCAGACUCCUACGGGAGGCAGCAGUGGGGAAUAUUGCACAAUGGGCGCAAGCCUGAUGCAGCCAUGCCGCGUGUAUGAAGAAGGCCUUCGGGUUGUAAAGUACUUUCAGCGGGGAGGAAGGGAGUAAAGUUAAUACCUUUACUCAUUGACGUUACCCGCAGAAGAAGCACCGGCUAACUCCGUGCCAGCCGCCGCCGUAA